GCUUGUGAUGACUGAAAUUUCUUCACUUUGAUUUCACUUGAAGAAACCCAGUGUCUAAGA
ensembl:snoRNA